rnacentral:rRNA from 1 species
CCGAGUAGAGUGGCGAACGGGUGAGUAAUGUGUGGGUAAUCUGCCUUUUAGCGGGGGAUAACCCGGCGAAAGCUGGGCUAAUACCCCAUAAUAUUGCUUGAUCUUCGGAUCGAGUAAUCAAACGAUGGCCUCUAUUUAUAAGCUAUCGCUGAAAGAUGAGCUCACAUCCUAUCACGCUUGUUGGUGGGGUAACGGCCCACCAAGGCGACGACGGGUAGCCGGCCUGAGAGGGUGUACGGCCACACUGGAACUGAGACACGGUCCAGACUCCUACGGGAGGCAGCAGUGGGGAAUUUUUCGCAAUGGACGAAAGUCUGACGAAGCAACGCCGCGUGGAGGAUGAAGGCCCUCGUGGUCGUAAACUCCUGUCUAGCGGGACGAAAGUAUUACGGGUAAAUAAUCCGUGAUAUUGACUGUACUGCUGGAGGAAGCUCCGGCUAACUCCGUGCCAGCAGCCGCGGUAAUACGGAGGGAGCAAGCGUUACUCGGAAUUAUUGGGCGUAAAGGGCGCGUAGGCGAUUCGAUAAGUC